UGAGGACCCCAGUCGCUGGGCUGCCAUUCUGGAGCGCCACGAGAGGUGCUACGGGCGAGCGCGAGCCCCCGAGGGCGGCUGGAAGCCCCGGACUGUUGGUAGAGUGGAAGGGGAUAGAGAUCGGUGGGGCGAGCGUCCUCCGUGGCCAGUCCUCCCCUCACCGCCCUUCCUCAGAGGGGCGCUUCCGGCCACGUCUGCAGCAGCUGGUGGCCACCAAUCCCCCUGAGCUGGUUGUGCACUGUUCGACCGCCACCUUCUGCCUCCUGCCAGAUGUGGGGGCUGCAGUCACCGAGCUGUGUGCCCUCUGCGGUGUGGGCCCACCACAGCCUCGGUCCUGGCAGCUGGAGCUCCAGAGAUGGAGGCCUUCAUGUCAGAUGAGGCGGUGGCCACAGUGCCCGGCUGGCCGGCCCCACAGUACACCCUCAGCCAGUGCCUCAGGACAGUGGACUCCCUACCUAGUGGAGACAGCACUGUGGACCUGGGCUGUGGGGCAGAGGCUGUGCCCAGACCUGCUGCCCAACCUUGGCCCCAGCCUGGCCACCCACGAGGAUGCUAGGCCAGCCAAGAAGCAUGGAACCCAGGCCGAGUAAACUUGGCCAUGGCCCAGGCCUGCUCACCUGCCACAGAACCUCAGGCCUCCGGGUCUCACUGGACGGCAGGGAGGCUGAAGAGGAGGCUGGCCACUACGGGAGCUCAAUAAACACUUCCCAAACUCACGCCUGAUCACACA
rnacentral:lncRNA from 1 species